ensembl:snoRNA Gm24295 small nucleolar RNA SNORA17
UCUGCCCCUAAAUGUGUUGCAGGCGUGGCUGCUAUGUCACAUAUGUGUCAAUAGGUGGCAGAGAGGAGAGAUGCUAUGUCAUGCGUGUGGCAAGUGUUCUGACCUAUCUGAACAAUUAGUUGCUUAACAUU